GACGAACGCUGGCGGCGUGCCUAACACAUGCAAGUCGAGCGGGGGGAGUUCUUCGGAACGAACCUAGCGGCGGACGGGUGAGUAACACGUGGGCAACCUGCCUUGAGGAGGGGGAUAACAGGAUGAAAGUCCUGCUAAUACCGCAUAACCCGGUGCUGUCGCAUGAUGGCAUCGGCAAAGGAGCAAUCCGCCUCAAGAUGGGCCCGCGGCGCAUUAGCUAGUUGGUGGGGUAACGGCCUACCAAGGCGACGAUGCGUAGCCGACCUGAGAGGGUGAUCGGCCACAUUGGAACUGAGACACGGUCCAGACUCCUACGGGAGGCAGCAGUGGGGAAUAUUGCACAAUGGGCGAAAGCCUGAUGCAGCAACGCCGCGUGAGCGAUGAAGGCCCUCGGGUUGUAAAGCUCUGUCUUCGCUGACGAAAUCUGACGGUAAGCGAGGAGAAAGCCACGGCUAACUACGUG
rnacentral:rRNA from 1 species